rnacentral:rRNA from 1 species
CCUACGGGAGGCAGCAGUGAGGAAUAUUGGUCAAUGGGCGAGAGCCUGAACCAGCCAAGUAGCGUGAAGGAUGACUGCCCUACGGGUUGUAAACUUCUUUUAUAAGGGAAUAAAAUGUUCCACGUGUGGCUUUUUGUAUGUACUUUAUGAAUAAGGAUCGGCUAACUCCGUGCCAGCAGCCGCGGUAAUACGGAGGAUCCGAGCGUUAUCCGGAUUUAUUGGGUUUAAAGGGAGUGUAGGUGGGUUGUUAAGUCAGUUGUGAAAGUUUGCGGCUCAACCGUAAAAUUGCAAUUGAUACUGGCAGUCUUGAGUACAGUAGAGGUAGGCGGAAUUCGUGGUGUAGCGGUGAAAUGCUUAGAUAUCACGAAGAACUCCGAUUGCGAAGGCAGCUUACUGGACUGCAACUGACACUGAGGCUCGAAAGUGUGGGUAUCAAACAGGAUUAGAUACCCUAGUAGUC